ensembl:lncRNA
CACGGUCCCCUGCACGUGGUAAGUGAUCCGUAAUGUCGUGAAAGAAACUGAUGCCCCCAGGAGGUUGUUGUCCGGUGCAAGGGGGCAGAGGGGCCAGGACCUGGGGCCUGACCUCUGAGUCCUUGGCUGUGUCUGAGCUGGAGGCCAGCCCCUGCCCACCCCAUACGCCCCCACCGCAAGAAGGAGCCCCCGGGAGCGCUGCCUGCAACCACACGUUAGCCUCUUUCCCGUCUCCAAAGGGUCCAGCCUGCGCCCCGGUCAGAUCUGCCCGCUGCCUGCGUUUGUGCGGCCCAUGAGCCAAGAAUGGCUGUUGCAUUUCAUUAUUAUUUUUUAAGACUCCAUUUUUAAGCAAUCUCCACAGCCGACGUGGGGCUCGAACCCCCAACCGCGAGAUCAGGAGUCGCGUGCCCCUCCACACAGCCAGCCAGGCGCCCCUCUCCUCCGGUCUUCAACGGGUGAAAAAACUCACAAGAAUACAAAUACACGUGAACACGAUACGGGUUUCCAAGUCGGCGUCCAUCCGCGGGUGUUCUUGGCACACAGCUGCCCGUUCAUCGACGUUGCUGGGGCCGCUUUCCUUCCACGAGGCGGGAAGUUGAGGGCCAAUGCGACGAAGACAAAAAUCUACCCUCUCUGGCCCCUCGCAAAAAGUUUGCUGAGCCCUGAGCUGCGCCCUCCCCCUUGUGCGGGGCGGGCAGGGACUGGCCUCCCGAGAGGGUAGACGGCGAGUCCCCCCGGAUGGUGACAGGGCACGCCUCUGCGUCACCAGGAAACGCGUGCCGAGGACCACCUGUGAGGCGCUGCACGGGUCACGGCGGACAGCCAGGCUGGCCUUGUGAGCAAGGGCACCGGCUCUGGACUCGAGUUCCAGCUCCGGGCACGUUGUGCCUCGGUUUCCCCAUCCUGAAGGCGGGAAUACUCGCACCUCGUGGGAGAAAGGAUCCUGUGAGUCACAGGGCACAGGACGUGGUCCCCAGAAGGAGUCACCGGCCUACCGCGGUCCGGAGACGAGCCUGUGUGAGAUCAGCCCGCCGUUCCGUCAGGACGCCUACGUCAGUCCCCUCCCUGCAUCUCGUGACGUGGGCACUCUACCGUCUCACGCCAUCACGACGAGAAGGGUGAGGACGGGAUGUCCCGAGACAGAGAGAGAGAAACCACACUCACACAACCUUUAUCAGCAUAAAUUGUUAUAACUGUUGUAUUUUAUCGUUGUGGUUGUUCAUCUCCUACUGGGUCUAGUUUAUGAAUUAAAUUUUAGCAUAGGCAACAAUGCCUAGAAAAAACACAGUCCAUACAGGGUUCAGUGCUAUCCAGGGUCAGGCAUCCGUGGGGGUCCUCGAAUGCAUCCGCCGUACAUGAGGGGGACCGGUAUACAUCAUUCUCUCCUGGGCUUAAAACGCUCCAGGCCCCAUCCCACCCAGAGUCAAAGCCAAGCCCAUACCCUGGUCCCUAACCCCCCUGAUUACCUCUCUCAACUUUCUCCCUGACCCCUUACCCCCAGUUACCCCUCCGGCUGUUCUCUGCACACACCAGGCUUCUGCCCCAGGGCCUUGGCACAUGCCACAGCCUGUCUGGGCCUUUCUUCUCAGGAUCUCCAUGUCUCACUUCCCCAUCUCCUUUGGGUCUUAACUCGAGGACACCUGCCUGGUGAGGCCUUCCCUGGGUCACCCGAUGGAAAAUUGAGCCUCUAUCCCCACUCCCUCCAGAAGUUUCCUAUUUGGAUGUCACCAUCAUGUAACGGACCAUACACUGUCAUGUUACUGUCUGUUUAGUUCCACUGGAGGGGACGGGCCGUGUCUGUUUCAGCCUCUGCGGUGCCCCAAGCAUCUAUGCUGCCCACAUGGUGAAUACUCAGUGGCUAUUUGUCCAACGGAUGAAUCCAGAGGACCGGAGUUUGGAACCUCUCACCUGACAGAAUGCACAUCCAUGGCGCUCAGCCUAGCCCCUGCCAGCUACCUCAGAGUGCAGACAUCCUUCGGGGAGGGAUCACAGACUGGGCUCCUAGAACCUUCUACAGACAGCGCCCCGGGGGGCAGACCGUGCCAGCCGGUUAACAGGACCCCAACGCUGCCGCCUCCCACGGUGCCCCACGGUCACACUGCAGGGUAGGGGGCUCAGCAUC